rnacentral:tRNA from 1 species
CUCUGGGUGGUGUAAAGUGUUAACACACUUGGCUUCUAACCGAAAGGUUUGAGGUUCAAGUCCACCCAGAGG